rnacentral:rRNA from 1 species
AGAGUUUGAUCCUGGCUCAGGAUGAACGCUAGCUACAGGCUUAACACAUGCAAGUCGAGGGGCAGCAUGGUCUUAGCUUGCUAAGGCCGAUGGCGACCGGCGCACGGGUGAGUAACACGUAUCCAACCUGCCGUCUACUCUUGGACAGCCUUCUGAAAGGAAGAUUAAUACAAGAUGGCAUCAUGAGUCCGCAUGUUCACAUGAUUAAAGGUAUUCCGGUAGACGAUGGGGAUGCGUUCCAUUAGAUAGUAGGCGGGGUAACGGCCCACCUAGUCUUCGAUGGAUAGGGGUUCUGAGAGGAAGAUCCCCCACAUUGGAACUGAGACACGGUCCAAACUCCUACGGGAGGCAGCAGUGAGGAAUAUUGGUCAAUGGGCGAGAGCCUGAACCAGCCAAGUAGCGUGAAGGAUGACUGCCCUAUGGGUUGUAAACUUCUUUUAUAAAGGAAUAAAGUCGGGUAUGGAUACCCGUUUGCAUGUACUUUAUGAAUAAGGAUCGGCUAACUCCGUGCCAGCAGCCGCGGUAAUACGGAGGAUCCGAGCGUUAUCCGGAUUUAUUGGGUUUAAAGGGAGCGUAGAUGGAUGUUUAAGUCAGUUGUGAAAGUUUGCGGCUCAACCGUAAAAUUGCAGUUGAUACUGGAUAUCUUGAGUGCAGUUGAGGCAGGCGGAAUUCGUGGUGUAGCGGUGAAAUGCUUAGAUAUCACGAAGAACUCCGAUUGCGAAGGCAGCCUGCUAAGCUGCAACUGACAUUGAGGCUCGAAAGUGUGGGUAUCAAACAGGAUUAGAUACCCUGGUAGUCCACACGGUAAACGAUGAAUACUCGCUGUUUGCGAUAUACGGCAAGCGGCCAAGCGAAAGCGUUAAGUAUUCCACCUGGGGAGUACGCCGGCAACGGUGAAACUCAAAGGAAUUGACGGGGGCCCGCACAAGCGGAGGAACAUGUGGUUUAAUUCGAUGAUACGCGAGGAACCUUACCCGGGCUUAAAUUGCAGAUGAAUUACGGUGAAAGCCGUAAGCCGCAAGGCAUCUGUGAAGGUGCUGCAUGGUUGUCGUCAGCUCGUGCCGUGAGGUGUCGGCUUAAGUGCCAUAACGAGCGCAACCCUUGUUGUCAGUUACUAACAGGUUCCGCUGAGGACUCUGACAAGACUGCCAUCGUAAGAUGUGAGGAAGGUGGGGAUGACGUCAAAUCAGCACGGCCCUUACGUCCGGGGCUACACACGUGUUACAAUGGGGGGUACAGAGGGCCGCUACCACGCGAGUGGAUGCCAAUCCCAAAAACCUCUCUCAGUUCGGACUGGAGUCUGCAACCCGACUCCACGAAGCUGGAUUCGCUAGUAAUCGCGCAUCAGCCACGGCGCGGUGAAUACGUUCCCGGGCCUUGUACACACCGCCCGUCAAGCCAUGGGAGCCGGGGGUACCUGAAGUGCGUAACCGCGAGGAGCGCCCUAGGGUAAAACUGGUGACUGGGGCUAAGUCGUAACAAGGUAGCCGUACCGGAAGGUGCGGCUGGAACACCU